rnacentral:misc_RNA from 1 species
UACAGAGGGUGCGAGCGUUAAUCGGAAUUACUGGGCGUAAAGGGUGCGUAGGUGGCGAGAUAAGUCAGGUGUGAAAUCCCCGGGCUCAACCUGGGAACGGCGCUUGAGACUGUUUAGCUAGAGUACUGUAGAGGGAAGUAGAAUUUCCGGUGUAGCGGUGAAAUGCGUAGAUAUCGGAAGGAAUACCAGUGGCGAAGGCGGCUUUCUGGACAGUAACUGACACUGAGGCACGAAAGCGUGGGUAGCAAACAGG